UGCCAGAUAGCUCAGUUGGUAAAGCAUUGCACUAUGAAGCAGAAGUGAUUAUCACGUUGUGGGUUCGAUCCCCGCCUUGUAC